CUUCGGGUGGAUUAGUGGCGAACGGGUGAGNAACACGNGGGCAAUUGCCCUUCACUCUGGGACAAGCCCNGGAAACGGGGUCUAAUANCGGAUAACACUCCUGCCUGCAUGGGCGGGGGUUAAAAGCUCCGGCGGUGAAGGAUGAGCCCGCGGCCUAUCAGCUUGUUGGUGGGGUAAUGGCCUACCAAGGCGACGACGGGUAGCCGGCCUGAGAGGGCGACCGGCCACACUGGGACUGAGACACGGCCCAGACUCCUACGGGAGGCAGCAGUGGGGAAUAUUGCACAAUGGGCGAAAGCCUGAUGCAGCGACGCCGCGUGAGGGAUGACGGCCUUCGGGUUGUAAAACUNUUUCAGCAGGGAAGAAGCGAAAGUGACGGUACCUGCAGAAGAAGCGCCGGCUAACUACGUGCCAGCAGCCGCGGUAAUACGUAGGGCGCAAGCGUUGUCCGGAAUUAUUGGGCGUAAAGAGCUCGUAGGCGGCUUGUCGCGUCGGAUGUGAAAGCCCGGGGCUUAACCCCGGGUCUGCAUUCGAUACGGGCAGGCUAGAGUGUGGUAGGGGAGAUCGGAAUUCCUGGUGUAGCGGUGAAAUGCGCAGAUAUCAGGAGGAACACCGGUGGCGAAGGCGGAUCUCUGGGCCAUUACUGACGCUGAGGAGCGAAAGCGUGGGGAGCGAACAGGAUUAGAUACCCUGGUAGUCCACGCCGUAAACGUUGGGAACUAGGUGUUGGCGACAUUCCACGUCGUCGGUGCCGCAGCUAACGCAUUAAGUUCCCCGCCUGGGGAGUACGGCCGCAAGGCUNAAACUCAAAGGAAUUGACGGGGGCCCGCACAAGCAGCGGAGCAUGUGGCUUAAUUCGACGCAACGCGAAGAACCUUACCAAGGCUUGACAUAUACCGGAAACGGCCAGAGAUGGUCGCCCCCUUGUGGUCGGUAUACAGGUGGUGCAUGGCUGUCGUCAGCUCGUGUCGUGAGAUGNUGGGUUAAGUCCCGCAACGAGCGCAACCCUUGUUCUGUGUUGNCAGCAUGCCCUUCGGGGUGAUGGGGAUCUCACAGGAGACUGCCGGGGUCAACUCGGAGGAAGGUGGGGACGACGUCAAGUCAUCAUGCCCCUUAUGUCUUGGGCNGCACACGUGNUACAAUGGCCGGUACAAUGAGCUGCGAUGCCGCGAGGCGGAGCGAAUCUCAAAAAGCNNAUCUCAGUUCGGNUUGGGGUCUGCAACUCGACCCCAUCAAUCGGAG
rnacentral:rRNA from 1 species